rnacentral:rRNA from 1 species
UACAGAGGUCUCAAGCGUUGUUCGGAUUCAUUGGGCGUAAAGGGUGCGUAGGCGGCGAGGCAAGUCUGGUGUGAAAUCCCGGGGCUCAACCCCGGAACUGCACUGGAUACUGCUUUGCUAGAGUACUGGAGAGGGAACUGGAAUUUACGGUGUAGCAGUGAAAUGCGUAGAUAUCGUAAGGAAGACCAGCGGCGAAGGCGAGUUCCUGGACAGUUACUGACGCUGAGGCACGAAGGCCAGGGGAGCGAAUGGG